CGUCGAGUGGCGGACGGGUGAGUAAUACUUAGGAAUCUGCCCAUUAGUGGGGGACAACUCGGGGAAACUCGAGCUAAUACCGCAUACGCCCUACGGGGGAAAGCGGGGGAUCUUCGGACCUCGCGCUAAUGGAUGAGCCUAAGUCGGAUUAGCUUGUUGGUGGGGUAAAGGCUCACCAAGGCGACGAUCCGUAGCUGGUCUGAGAGGACGAUCAGCCACACUGGGACUGAGACACGGCCCAG
rnacentral:rRNA from 1 species